AAGACCUUGCGCUUUUGGAGCGGCCGAUGCCUGAUUAGCUUGUUGGUAAGGUAAAAGCUUACCAAGGCUUCGAUCAGUAGCUGGUCUGAGAGGACGACCAGCCACACUGGGACUGAGACACGGCCCAGACUCCUACGGGAGGCAGCAGUGGGGAAUUUUGGACAAUGGGSGCAAGCCUGAUCCAGCCAUGCCGCGUGAGUGAAGAAGGCCUUCGGGUUGUAAAGCUCUUUCAGCCGGGAAGAAAAGGUUGCGAUUAAUAAUCGCAAUUUAUGACGGUACCGGAAGAAGAAGCACCGGCUAACUACGUGCCAGCAGCCGCGGUAAUACGUAGGGCGCGAGCGUUAAUCGGAAUUACUGGGCGUAAAGGGUGCGCAGGCGGUUUUGUAAGUCAGAUGUGAAAUCCCCGGGCUUAACCUGGGAACU
rnacentral:rRNA from 1 species